AAAAAAAAGAUAGAAAAGAAACAGAAUGAAAUGAAACAGAGAGCAAGGAAGGAAAGAAAAGAAAGAAAGGGAGAAAAGGGAAAUUUUGAGAUUUCAAGGUUUGAAAGUUUAAUUGGUUAAGGUUAAACCGUUGAAUCAGCAUCCCAGGCUGAUCCCGAAUUCAAUGAGGUAAAGUAUGUUGAGUAUUGGUAAUGGCAUGUACCUAGGAUGUCUUAUGAGAGUCAUUUAGGUUGUGAAAGUAUUGAUAAAAUAAGUAAAUUAUGGUUGGCAAUGGUAUAUAGUAUGAAUUUGAAAUUUGAAAGAAAAAUUCGUAGUAAUUCAAAAUUAGUUCCGAAUUGAUUUUACUAUUCAUAUUAGACCGCGAGGGCCCAUUAAAGGGACGGCAUCUUAAAAUUAUGAUGAGUCUGAAUGUUUAUAUUUAAUUAAUGUCUGUAUUGUACUGUACUGACUGGUAAUGUCUCUUAACCCUGUUCCGGCAACGGUAUGAGGUUAGGGGACGUUACAUGUUUCCCUUCCAUUUAGAUAUAAAAACCAUCGAGACCAGUCCCCGUAGUCUUAAAUUAAUUCCAGUAGUUUUCAUCUCCUUUACUAUGUAAUAAAAUUUGUUGGAGUACUUGAAUUGUUUUAAAAUUUUCAUGUUCAA